UACGGGGGGGGGCAAGCGUUGUUCGGAAUUACUGGGCGUAAAGGGCUCGUAGGUGGCCAACUAAGUCAUACGUGAAAUCCCUCAGCUUAACUGGGGAACUGCGUCUGAUACUGGAUGGCUUGAGUUUGGGAGAGGGAUGCGGAAUUCCAGGUGUAGCGGUGAAAUGACGUAGAUAUCUGGAGGAACACCGGUGGCGAAGGCGGCAUCCUGGACCAAUACUGACACUGAGGAGCGAAAGCCAGGGGAGCAAACGGG
rnacentral:rRNA from 1 species